rnacentral:rRNA from 1 species
ACUAGUGAUUUCCGUAGGUGAACAAGCGGAAGGAUCAUUUACACGAUGUAUAUCCACACUUCAAACCUGAACCUUACUGUGGGCUUCAUGACGCGGUUUUUCGGAGCCGCCGAUUGGCCCGUGGGCAAAUGGAACUAUUGGCGUCCUAGACACCAGUACGACCAGGAGCCAUGUGAUAACCUCACCAAGCAACUCUCUGGAAUUUUAUUGAGUUUUGAGGAUUUUAAUCCUUUCACAACUUUUAGCGAUGGAUGCCUCGGCUCGAGUAACGAUGAAGGACGCAGCAAAAUGCGAUAAGCGCCGUGAAUGGCAGAAUUCCGAGAAUCAACAGAAUGCUGAACGCAUACUGCACUUCCAGGAUCUUCCUGGGAGUAUGUCUAGUUCAGGGCGAUAACGUCCAAAUGCACCAACUGGUCUUGCGAACUACGGUUCGGAUCACCCGGGUGGUAGCGUUGUUGUGUGUCAGCGUUCAGGGCGCCCGCCCCGUUGACGCAUGAAAUUCAAGUUUUCUCAAAUCUCAGUUAAGCUUUCGCUUAGUGGAUUUCUAAUUCUCUGGCGGCAAGCCUACCGAUUUGUGGGAAACCCCAAAAGCUCCUUGAGAGUAAUCUCUCAAAUUGUUGCUUCUCGCAUGAACUUAGACAAGGCUACCCGCUGAAUUUAAGCAUAUC